AGAGUUUGAUCAUGGCUCAGAUUGAACGCUGGCGGCAUGCCUUACACAUGCAAGUCGAACGGUAACGGGUCCUUCGGGAUGCCGACGAGUGGCGAACGGGUGAGUAAUAUAUCGGAACGUGCCCAGUAGUGGGGGAUAACUGCUCGAAAGAGCAGCUAAUACCGCAUACGACCUGAGGGUGAAAGGGGGGGAUCGCAAGACCUCUCGCUAUUGGAGCGGCCGAUAUCAGAUUAGCUAGUUGGUGGGGUAAAGGCCUACCAAGGCAACGAUCUGUAGUUGGUCUGAGAGGACGACCAGCCACACUGGGACUGAGACACGGCCCAGACUCCUACGGGAGGCAGCAGUGGGGAAUUUUGGACAAUGGGCGCAAGCCUGAUCCAGCAAUGCCGCGUGCAGGAAGAAGGCCUUCGGGUUGUAAACUGCUUUUGUCAGGGAAGAAAUCUUCUGGGCUAAUACCCCGGGAGGAUGACGGUACCUGAAGAAUAAGCACCGGCUAACUACGUGCCAGCAGCCGCGGUAAUACGUAGGGUGCGAGCGUUAAUCGGAAUUACUGGGCGUAAAGCGUGCGCAGGCGGCUUUGCAAGACAGAUGUGAAAUCCCCGGGCUCAACCUGGGAACUGCAUUUGUGACUGCAAGGCUAGAGUACGGCUGAGGGGGAUGGAAUUCCGCGUGCAGCAGUGAAAUGCGUAAUAUGCGGAG
rnacentral:rRNA from 1 species